GAAAAGCCAACUUUUUUGAGAGAACGGGUGGGCGAAUAUCAGAAGGCUUCGGUUAUGUCUAGCCUACAGGAUGGAACCCAGAAUUAUGUGUUCAAGCUAGAUGAAUAUUUCUAGCUCACAGGAUCCACGGAUAAGAUUUUCUGGCUGAGAGCUUGUGUUGUUUACUAUCAGGUAGGCCACACAUGUCCAAAAUCAAUGGGCAAUCCAUAAAAAUUUGCAAGCAUUUCUUUUUAUGGCUAUCCAUUUCUUUCAUACAUGCAUGGCCUUAUUGACAGUUGACAGGCCUGGGUUUUCAACUGAUGAUAUACGCAUUGUGUCCCACUUGAUAAAUGGCUCAGACGUCCUACACACACAUCAAGUAUGGGUAUG